UCUUGGCCGAAUUCUCUGCAGCAAAAACACAACACAAAGUUGCCAUUUUCAUCUUCAAUUCUUGCACAAAAACUUCAUGGAUUCACACCAAAUUUGAACUACACUUAGCUUGUCACAUGGAGAGAUCAUCUAGCUAGAAAAAGGAGGAGUUUCUCACGGUUUCUUGGAGCAUCUUGAGGACCGAAAUUUCUGGUUUAAAGCAACAAGGAGGUAUAACCUCAUCCUACACCUUAAGCUUGGUUUAUGAUGGUAGAAAUGCAUCCUUAAGCUAUUGCAUGUGUAUGGGUAUCUUGAUAUUGUUGGAAAAAUGUGAAAGUGGGGGCUAUGGAUUCCCACACUUGGGUUGUUGCUGAUUUGAUGAUUGAUGGUGGAUAUAUUGUUGGUUUAGUGGUUAAAAUGAUGGAUUAAUGGUGUGUAAUUGAUAGAAAUUUCAUUGGGUGCAAGAGGCAAAAGUUUCCGAUUUUACCCCUGCCUUGUCCGACCACUUUUGUGCAAAAUUUUGAGGUUCUAAUGACUUGAUUAUGUUGUUUACAUGUUAUUGUGAGUGUGUACAAAAUUUCAUUGAAAAAUAACAUGAUUUGGUUGGUCAAAUGAAUUGAUUUCGAAAGUUAGCAAAUCUGGAAAAUGAUUCCCGUAUUGCCCAGGCAGUCAUUUUGUAUCGGCUAUAACUCUUUAGUCCGAUGUCGAAAUCAAGUGCCGUUUGCGGCAUUGGAAACUAGACAUUCUCAGCUUUCCAUUGGUACCAAAUUCACGUUCUGGUUCCACUUGAGUGAGCCACACCAUUCGUUUGAAAAUCACUGCCCUGUUUCGUUGCUCUCCAGGAGACAGGACAGAAAUUGCUUCUUGAUGCUCAAAAACGAGCUGUUUGUAGAUAGAAUUUGAAAAUGGUUUCUUCUGAGAAAAUUCAGCUUUAUAAGAGAGCUUUCCAACGCCAUCAACCACGUCCAAUUCCAAGUUGAAUUGAGUGAGUUGUGGCCAAAGUUUGAAACUGCUACAGUGAUAGAAUUUUCCACUUGGACAGAUUUGUAACUAACAAUGAUUUGGGACUUGUUGUUUUGGAAAAUUUGAUGUCCAACACCUACCAAACUUUAGAUUAGAUGUUCCUUGGACUUUGUUUUACAAAUAAACCAGAUUUGGGUUGGUUGCUUUGGACAAAAUGUUUAAAAAGGAAAGAAGAGCUAGAAGACAGUUUUACCUUGGAAAAUUUCUUGAACUUUGAUGGUUUAGUUAACUACCUUACCGUGUGAGUUUUCGUAUGAAACUUGGUAGAAACGUUGUUCACAUAUGGAAGAUUUAGUGUACCAAGUUUUAUGUAUUUCCACUGCCAACUCGGUGACCAAAUGAUGCUUCGAAUUUAGUUUUUAAACCUGGAAAAUAGCCCAACCGUCUUAACUUUUUCAGCAACUUGGAGCUACUAUAUCUUGGUGCUCGAAACUCCGUUUCUCAUUCCGCUUGUUUUUUUAUACUCAUGGAUUGCAACACUAAUUGAUUUCCAAAUUUCAAAGGUUAGUUCAAAACAAGUGAAUUUUGCCGAAUUUCCAAAAUUGGCCAAAAACCAACCUUGAAACUGUCUUAGUAUUCUACAGCAGUAACUUUGAUCCAACUUUUGAAUACCUUCCAUUUGGGAUCAUGGAAAAGUGUCUUCUAGAAACUUGUAGUACUCGGAAUGUAGUUUCCAAUGGUAUCAAGCGUUCCAAUUUUGGACCUACGUAGUGCAAGAUACGAUUUUUCUAAAAUUGACACCCAAAGCUGAAAUUUGGCAAUUUCUUAGAAAAUGAGAUUUUGGAAACUUGCCUUCUUUUCUCGAUACCGAUUGAACAUUUUGAACUCGAUUUCAUGAAAAAUGUUAGUCUCUCUCUUUAGACUUUCAAACUCUACUCUUGAGCCUCGAUUAUUAAUAAUUAAGGCCCAAUUUAUGAAUUCCCCUUAGAUUGUACAACCUUCUUUGAUAAGUAGGAGUUCUAAGUGAUAGUGCAUAAUAGUUAAUGGUUAUUUGCUCAGGCGCUCAAGGGGACCUUCAAGAGGAACUCGAAGUGGACGCCUAGACACUUGUUUGAGUAUUUACUCUCUUGUUGCAAUAGGUGAGUGUUCCAUAUAGGAAUACGUAAUUGGAAUAAGUCUAUGACAUGCUUAACUCCUGGUCAUUAGGUGUUAAGUGCUAUAUGUUAAGUAUUUACCACACUCAUGCAUAUUUGAAUAGUGUAUACUUGAAUUACUCGACAUGAAACAUCUGAAGUAUGUAUAUUUGAACUAUUCGAUAUGAAACCCUUGAAGAGCAUAUUUACGUGACUACUUGAACUAUUCGAUAUGAAAUGCUUAAAGAGCAUACUUAUGUGAUUACUUGAAAUACUAGAUAUGAAAUGUUUGGAGAGCAUAUUUACAUGAUGUGUUUAAAUGAUUAAUUAUGCUAUGGAAGCAUAAGUCGGUUGGGGUGAAUCUCCUCGACUCUUACGUGGUGAAAGUGAAAAACGGCCAAUGGCGGCCUAUUGAAAUGACAUAUGUCUACCAAUUAACUGUAAUUACUACCAUUAACCGUUUACCGUUUACCGUUAACCGUGUUUACUUACUGUUUUCUAAUCUAUUUGGUUACUUGCUUACUUGGUUAUCUGCUUACGUGAUCACCAACUUACUUGGUUACUUGACCACCUGAUUACUUGAUUAUCAUGAAUCACAUGUUAUAUGAAGCUGUCCAUCAUUAUUAGGCGAGUGUGUACUUUACCUCACUCGACCUACUCAAAUGAUGAAUUUUACCUUUUGUCGAAUUACUUGGUUACUUGUGCAUGUUGUAAGCUCUAAGCUGAACUUGGGCCCCGCCUCGGUUACUGACCUACUCGAGCCAGGACUGGGCUCGGUCGGGUAGGUUGGAACCCUGGACAACCGUUUCGGUAUACUCGAGUAUUACCACUGGAGGGAUAAGGCGAUGGCCAGACCGUACCGUGGGGAUCAGGAAGUCAUAAGGUGCAGAUGACCGACAGAGUUCCACUGGAACACCGUAUCCUACCGUAUAUGUUUACCUUGUAUCAUGAUAAUUGUUUCAUGCUAAAAUGUCAACAUGAAAUCCUGAACUAUGCCUGUGAUAUGCUCCAUACCUGUUACCUGACCAAUGUACUUAUAUCAUGAUACCUGUCUCAUGAUAAAUGUCUCGUAUCAUGAUAAAUGUCUCAAAUUACUCGUACAAUGAUUAUCACCUCAUGAUAACACGCCAUUGUGUAACAUUGAACCAUGCAUAUGAUAUGCCCAACUUACUUGAUUUAUUUGAACUGUUAGAGUGUCUUGGAACCUCACUGGGCUGUGUAGCUCAUCCCACGUUGUGGUUUUCUUUUACAGGGUUCGAGACCAAGGGUGCUCGUGAGUAGUACUAGAUUGUUUUCGUUUGAAAACUUUAAGUUAUAUUAUAACGGAUGGCUAUUGUACCCUUUUCCGUUGGGUUGUAUUUAAGCUUGGAAGCUGCAUAAUUGUAAGUGUGAGAUAUUUGGAGUACUUUAAUUAUGUAUUGAAGUUACUUAAAGUAUUUCGAGCUUUUGAAUGAUGGAUUGUAGUGAGUCCUGGCGAGAGCUGGGCAGGCGUCCCGCGGAUACCCUUUGGUUCGCCUUAGGGAGAAGUGGGGGCGCUACAAGUUAGAUAAGUGUAAUAGUUAGGUUAUUAUUCUUUUUAAUCUCUCCCUUAGAUUGUAGUUAGGGUCCCAAAUGUAAUAGUUGUGAGAACCCUGAAAAUAGACAUAUAAAUAUCAGU
rnacentral:lncRNA from 1 species